UCAAGCAAUCUGCCUGCUUUGGCCUCCCAAAGUGCUAGGAUUAUAGGCAUGAGCCACCACACCCAGCCAGAAAAUAGUUUUUAAAACUGUAAAUAUUAUUGAUUUAUUCAUUAUGGUCAAAUUAAAAGGGAAAUAAUAAUUCAAAAAGAAAACGAAUCCAUUUCUUUUCUUUUAAAACAUCCAUUUCUCCAAAAGUUUCCUAAGGACUACCUACAUCAUUGUUGUUCAAAGUUUAAUGUACAUCUAAUGUCCUGGGGAUGUUGUUAAAGUGUAGAAUUUGAUUCAGUAGCUCUGAGAUGGGGCCCAAGAUACUGCAUCCCACUUUGGGAUGUGAGGCCAGGAAUUUUAAAUUAUCUCCCCAGUAAUGAUGUACUUUUUAAAGGACUGAAGAAUAAUCAUCCACAAAUUCAGCCUAUAUUUACUUUAAUGAUCCACAGCAUUGUGUAUAUUCGUGUUAAAACUCAAGAAAAGUCAAGUUCCAUCCAAACAGCAGGACCAAAAUAGCACAUUUAGUACCAUGGUAAAAUUACAUCUUUAAAGGGAACUAGCAUUUGCUGGCAGCCUAUUUAUUUUGCAAGGCAAUGUGCACCAUGCUUUCCAUACAUCAUUUCUUUUAAUCCUUCCAUUUCAGUGGAGGCAACUAAAGACAGAGUCCCUGCCUAAGGUCAGAAUCUGGAUUCAACAGAAAUCAGCCUGUCUCUACCUGCUAUUUUUGCUUCUUUCUAUUUUUAUGUUCUAUCUUAUCAUCUCAUCUCCCUCCAGGUAGUAGAUAGGAUUAUUAUUCCCAACUAUUCUUCCCUCCCUCCUUAUAAUAGGAGGAAGCAUCCCUGCUCAUUGUCACGGGGGAGAAGUGUACGUCCCCACUUCAUUGACUUUGGCCCUAUGACACACUUUGACCAAUAAAAUGUGUGCAGAUAUGACACUGACUACCUCCAAGCAGAAGUUUUAACUGAGUUUCACAGUUGGAAUAGGCCCGCUUGUUUUCCUGGUCUCCACCAAUGGCACAUCCCAGAUAGAAACUGUUCUUUCAGCAUUACUUUUAACAAGAGAAACUUAGAAAUAGCCUAUUGUCUAUAACAGAUAAUAAUGACAAAGACAGUUAACAUGGAAAAAUACAUAAUGUAAAAUGAAAAAAGUAUAAUAUGGUUAUGAUUACACCUGUGGUAAACUGCAACACACAUAUGCACCGGGGAAAAAAGACUGAAAGGAAAUAUAUACCAAAAUAUAAUCAAGAUUUUGUUAGAAUUAUGAUUCAUUUUUGUCUUCUUCCCUAAGUGUUACAGUGUCACAUUGCUUCAAUAAUAUACAAAUUCCUCUGCGACUUUCAAAAUUCAAGGCAAUUUAAGACCCCCCAGCAGUCCAUGGACUCAGCUAAUAAGGCAAUCCUACAGCAGAGACCACUUUUGAGGAGCUUCAUGAUUACACUGAUCCCACCCAGAUAAUCCAGGAUAAUUUCCCUAUUUUAAAGUCAGCUGAGUAGCAGCCUUAAUUCCAUUUCCAAAUCUUAAUUCCCCUUUGCCAUAUAACAUGCUCACAGGUUCCAGGGAUUAGGAUACAUAGACAUCUUUGGAGGGUGUCUUAGCCCAUUUUGUCUUACUCCAUUUUGUAUUGCUAUAAAAAAAAACAAAACAAAACCUGAGACAAGGCAAUUUAUAAAGAAGAGGUUUUCUUAGCUCACAGCUCUGCAGGCUAAAAAGUUCAAGGGCAUGGCCCUGGCUUCCGGCAAUGGCUUUCAUGCUACAUCACAACAUGGCAGAGAAGGUCAAAAAGGAAAGAGACACUUGUGAAGACAGAAAACCUGAGGGGCGUCCUGGCUUUAUAACAACCCACUCACUCAGGAGCUAAUCCAUUCUCCGUGGGAACUAAUCCAGUCUAGGGAGAGCAACAACUCGCUACUGUGAAAACAGCACCAACCCAUUCAUGAAGGAUCCACCCCUAUGAUCCAAACACCUCCCAUUAAUUAGGCCCCACCUCUAACACUGGGGAACAAACUUCAGCUUAAGUUUUGCUGGGGAGAAACCAUAUCCAAACCACAGCAGAGAGCCAUUAUUCUACCUAUCACACUGUGCUACUUCAUAUAAAAUAAUUUAAUAUUUAAUAAACUGGCUAAUACCAUAGAUUCCCAUAACAACAUACACCAUGAAGUCGUUUCUGAUCUUAUACUUUUCUCUUCCCUGUGGCUAAUCAACAUUCAGUCUCUUAAAGCAGUACUUAUCUAUAGAAGUGUACUUAAAUGAAUGAUUGUUCUCUCUCAUUUAUUCAGCACUGACGGAGGGUUAAGUCCCAUAGAAAUAAAUCAGACACAGUCUCUGCCACAAGGCACUCACCCACUAGAGGCAGGAACAAAAUGGAGAGGAUGAAGUGAAAUCCCAGCACUGAUAUCAGGGCUACUAGAGGGACCUUUAAAGUUCUGUGGAGCUGUAACUGAGGUUGCUGGUGAAGACUUCUCUGAAGAGUGCAUUUGGGCUGAAUGUUUAUGGAAGAAAAGAGAAGCAAGGGGCUGAAGCCUUAAGAUUCAACAUGGUGUCAAGGGUGUGAGGAAGCAGCCCACCAUGCUGGUGAUCACAGAUGGCGGCUGAGUAGGGAGUUGACUACAGGUUGAUGCUGAAUUCUACUGGAGAAUAGCAUCACUUAAAAAACUAGAAAGGGAAGAGGAAUCCAGCCUAGAUCCUGAGAAGAAAGGAUCAUAUAGGCUAAAAGAAGAAGAAAAAGUACCCAGAAACUGGCAGCAAGUUAAAAACAGACAGGUGUCAUUGAGAAACAGCCACUGGAGUCCACCGUUAGGUCAUUGAUGAGCAAAAGCCAGAUCAGCGUCCCUAAGGGAGGCCAGGAAACAAAUUGCAACAAACUGGGGAGUUAAGGGGACAAGAGAAGGCAGGGAACAGAAAGAAAUAAGAAGAGUAACAAGAGGAAGGUGGAGGACAAGAAGGCAGGGGAUGACAGAGAGGAAGGGGAGAGUCAGGAGGGAGGGAAGGAACUUUCCUGAGCUACUACCAAGCACCAGUCCCUGUACUUGUACAUUACCAUAUAAGGAAUUAAUCGAAGUUGAAAAAGCUAUGAGUCUUCUUACCAGUUUCCUUUUCAAUAGUCAAGUAUUGAAAAGAAGCGGUAUGUAGGAUGAAGUAAACAGUCUUACAAGUUUGGACACAUUUGUAGACCAAGAAGAACCAACAGAAAGGGAGAGCAAGACAAAAUAGGUCAUAGACAGAAUGACUGUUAGAUUAGGUCCCAGAGGAGGCAAAAAUGGGUGGGAAUCAAGAGCACAGGUAGGGGAUUGGUUUUGGGUGAGAGACAGAGGACCCUCUUCUCUGAAGUGGGUAGAGGUGCUAUACCAUCCAAAUGGAAGGAGAGGGCUGUGAAAUAGGAGGGAAGUGAAAGAUAUCAGUGGGGAUAGGGAGAAGGAAAAUAGAGAAUCCCAAAGUUUGAAAGCAAAAGAAAUCUCCUUCAUUAUUUUGGUACUUGAUCAAAAUUAUAGUCCUAAUUAUACAAAUCAGAGUUUAAGCAAAACUCUUUGUGGUUAUACCUUGAAGCAGCUCUGUUAACUUAGGUAAGUCAGUUAAACUUCAUAAGCUACAACUUAAAAGAGGGGAAUUUGGUGAUUCUAGUGUCCCUUCCAGCUCUACAUUUCAAUGGCUCCAAGGACAGAGCUCAAACCCUAACCAUAGUGUCAGCUUACCUACCAAAAACAAACAAAAACAGUCAUAUGGGAACAAAACUCAAGGUGAACGUAAUUUAAAUACCUUUGGGUCAUUUUCGCAUCUUGCUUUUGAGAGUGACAGCCACAACAGAUGGUUACUGCUGACAAGGGCUGCAUCAUUAGUCCUAAUGAUAAUCGAUGUUUUUAUAGCCCUUUACUAUUUAUAAAGAGCCUUCACACAUGAAAUGUUUUAUUGGCUUCCCCAAACACCCACAUGAGAUAGGUAAAGCUACUGUACUAUUUAUUCUAUCCACUUUCUAGUUGAGGAAACUGAGGCUUAUAGUUGAUGACUUGCCCAAGGCACCAAAGCAGACAGUGCCUAUGACUCGAAUUCAGGUACUCCAGAUUCAAAAAUCACUAUUUCAUUUUUAUUUGUUUACAUGCCGUUUAGUGCUCUUUACACACAACUCCUUGCUUCUUCAUUAGGUUGGAAAUAGAAAAUUUUAAAGAGUUAAAAGAAAUUUGCAUACUUUCAUUCUUUUAAUUGAUCCUGGCAAUACAGUUUGUUGAAACGCAUGUAUAACCUUAAUUUCCAAGUGAUAAAUGACUGAUUGGAAUCCAAAGGGCAGAGAUAGCAUUAGGAUUCAAGUAUUUCAAUGUUCUCAUUCUCGGGAUGAGUGAACAGAGGCCUCACUGGCAAAUGGCUUGUGGAAGCAGAGCCAACACUAGAACUCAGGGCCUCCAUCAACCCUGGGGCUUUCGGCACUGGCCAAGUCUUACACAGCUUCAAACAAAAGUUAACGGAAUUGCUCCUUAACAAUGAAAUGGUUCAGAUUUAAAUAAUUUGGGGAGCUCAUUCUCUUGUUUUUACAUGUGCAAACCAUAUGGACACUGCCUAUUAGUGGUACUAGAAUUCUCUGGAGCAAAUUCUCUUCUCAAAUGGGAGGGUUUGUAAUGACAGUCAUGCCUCAUUUUACUACAUGAGAAGUAAAUGGAUCCAAUAAGGAAUCCAUCUGAGGGAGCUUUAAAGCAACUGAAACUGCCUCCAUUACCAUCUUCUACCUACAAAGUGUUUUCUAGACAAAUUAAAAUUUGAAAAACUUAAAAAAUGCAAUGAAAAUAUUUUGAAGACAACCAUAUUGUCUAAGUAUUCCCAUUUUCCUCCUUUGAAAAUAUUGUAAUGAGUCAGCAGGUGCUUACUACCAAAAUUACUUUUUAUCAUGAAGCUAAAAAACGUUUAAUGUUUAAACAGAAGACUCCAUGAGAAUAGAUGAGAACAUGCAAAUGCUGCAUAUUAUGAAGUUACAGAUCCCAUCUUACAUGUUGCAUGGAGAAAAAUCUCUGAGGCUUCCAUUAGACUAUAAGGGACUCAAAAACAAGAAUGCCAGAGGAAGGGAACGCUGCUGAGGUGAGCUGAUAGUCUGAUUUCCUUUCCUCCGGGGAAUUGAGAACUCUGAGCUCAUCCUAAUGAGACUUGUGAAGAGAAGGGAUUUCUGCUGGGAGAAAGAGAACCAGCAAAGCUUUAUGGUGAAUACACAAAAGCUGAUGUGACAGAUGGGAACUAUUCCCGUUUACUCAGUUCUGGGGAAAGAGAGUGAGAUAUUAGGCUAAGGGUUUCUAGAAGGCAGAGUGAAAUCUCCUACAGUUUCAUAGUGCUUUGGAGACAGCAUUUUAGGAGAGUAGGAGUGUUCCCUCAAAUACAUAACCAGUUUUACCCUCAAACAGUUGCAAGAAUUUGAAAUUCUGGGAGCAGGAGGUUAAACUCAAGACCUCCAAAGGGCAGGACUGAAUCUUCCACAGUUUUGCAUCUUCCACAGUUUUGCAGGACUAAGAAAACAAAGGUCUUCCAGGCUUUUGAUCAAAGUCCAGGAGAGCCAUGCCUGAGAAGCACAGACAAGCAUAGCUGGAUUGAGUCUUCAUAAAACUGCAAUCUGGCCUUAACUUAGCUUAAUUCUCAAUGGAGUGAAAGUGUUCAGUCCUUCACUGCAUUUACCUAACAAAGUAAAGAGGAGAAAUUUUCUCUGGAGGAAGAUAUAAUCUAGAGUUAGUAAGGUUCUUUUGGACAUUAUAAUGCCCAACAUAAAAUUAAAUAAGUAUGAGACCUGAGAACUGCAAGAAAAUGUAACCAAUAUUCAAGAGAAAAAUAAGAAAGAUGCAGAUUCACAGAUGAUCCAGAUAUUGGAUUUAGAUGAGACCUUUAAAAUAACAUGAUUAAUUGAUUUAAAAAGUAAGAAUAAAAACAGGAAAUGGGUGAAAAGAGAAAUUCACCAGAAAUUUCAACAGAGAACUAGAAAGUAGCUUUAAAAAAGAAUCAAAUGGACAUCCUAGAAAAAAAAAUCUGAAAUUAAGAAAAAAUACAGUUAUCCGAAAUUAAUCCACUGAAUGGGUUUAAUGGCAGACUGGACACAGCAAAACACAAGAUUAGUAAACUGAAUAUAGAGGCUAAUGAAAAAUAUCCAUUAUUAAAAGCCAAAUAGAAAAAGGGGGAAAAAAGAAGCAGAUCCUAAGAAAUACCAAAGGGUCUCAUGUCCUUGUAAAUUGGAGAACCAGAAGGAGGGGAAAGACAGAAUACGGCAGAAUCAAACGAGAUGAUGGCUAAGAGUUUUCCAAUACUGAUAAAAGACAUCAACCUUCAGAAUCAAGCUCACCAGCCCAAAGCAGGAUGGAUAUACAAGGAAAUCAGAGUUGGACUUGUGAGUGUCAAAUGCUUAGUACAAAAAUAUGGCAAAAACUGAGGAAGUCAUAUAGUAGCAGCAAACUGAGUCCAAUACAACUUAGCCUCCUCUCCUUGGAAAGGUUAUGAUUGAGAACAGUGACUGGGGACUCACCCUAACACAAUAAUAAAAUGUUACACUGUAGCAGGGUUGUAGUCACUCUGCUCUUGACCAAGUACAGAAAACCCCACAAUAACAUAAACUUGAAUAUGCAGAUGGUCCAUGGUUCCACUUACGAUUUUUCUACUUUACGAUGGUGCAAAAGUGAUACAUAUUCAAGAGAAACCAUACCUGGAGUACUCAAAUAGGCAUUGUUUUUUCACUUUCACUACAGUAUUUGAUAUGUUACAUGAGAUAUUCAACACUUUACUAUAAAAUAGGCUUCAUGUUAAGAUGAUUUUGCCCAAUUGUAGGCUAAUGCUACAUGUUCUGAACACGUUUAAGGUAGGCUAGGCUAAGCUAUGAUGUUUGACAGAUUAGGUGUAUUAAAUGCAUUUUCAACUUAAUGAUAUUUUCAACUCACGAUGUCUUUAUCAGGUUAAGUUGAAGAGCAUCCAUACUGUGAUGGAUGAUUACCUCGUGGUUUCCACCUGGCCACUGAUUUCAUUUCAUUAACAUAAUGAUGCAACUCCAGUACACCCAAGAGAUAUAUCUGCACUCCCAUGUUUAUUGCAGCACUAUUCACACAACAGCCAAGAUCUGGAAGUAACCUUAAGUGCUCAGAUGAACAGAUAAAGAAAAUGUGGUACAUAUACCCAAUGGAGUACUAUUUAGCCAUGAGAAAGAAUGAGAUCCUGUCAUUUGCAACAACAUGGAUGGAACUGGAGGUCAUGUUAAGUAAAAUAAGCCAGGCACAGAAAGACAACCAUUGCAUUUUCUGACUAAUACGUGGGAGCUAAAAAUUAAAAUAAUUGAACUCACAGAGAUAGGGAGUAGAAGGAUGGUUACCAGAGACUGGGAAGGAUAGUGGGGGGUUGGAGGAAAGUGGGGAUGAUUAAUGGGUACAAAAAAUAGAAUUAAUAAGACCUACUAUUUGACAGCACAACAGGGUGACUACAGUCAAAAAUAAUUUUUUUGUUUUGUUUUAUUUGAGAUAGAGUCUCGCUCUGUCACACAGGGUGGAGUGCAGUAGGGCAAUCUCGGCUCACUGCAACCUCUGCCUUCUGAGUUCAAGAGAUUUCCUCAUUCAGCCUCCCGAGUAGCUGGGAUUAUAGGCACCCACCACCACGCCCAGCUAAUUUUUUUUUUUUUUUUUUUUUUGAGAUGGAGUCUUGCUCAGUCACCCAGGCUGGAGUGCAGUGGUGUGAUCUCGGCUCACUGCAAGCUCCGCCUCCCGGGUUCACACCAUUCUCCUGCCUCGGCCUCCCUAGUAGCUGGGACUACAGGCACCUGCUACCAUGCCCAGCUAAUUUUUUGUGUAUGUUUUUUAGUAGAGACGGGGUUUCACCAUGUUAGCCAGGAUGGUCUCGAUCUCCUGACCUCAUGAUCCACCUGCCUCGGUCUCCCAGUAAUUUUUGUAUUUUUAGUAGAGACGAGGUUUCGCCAUGUUGGCCAGGGUGGACUUGAACUCCGUACCUCAAGUGAUCCGCCCGCCUCAGCCUCCCAAAGUGCUGGGAUUACAGGCUUGAACCAUGGCACCCAACCUAAUUUUUGGUGUUUUUUGGGGUUUUUUUUUGAGACAGGGUUUGGCUCUGUCUCCCGGGUUGGAGUGCACUGGCGCAGAUCAAGGCUCACUGCAGUCUUGACCUCCCGGGCUCAAGUGAUUUUCCCACCUCAACCUCCCGAGUAGCUGGGACCACAGGUGUAGCCACCAUGUCCGGCUCAUUUUUCUUAUUAUUUUUUAUGGAGACAGGGUUUUGCUAUGUUGCCCAGGCUGGUCUCAAACUACUGGGCUCAAGGGAUCCUCUUGCCUAAGCCACCCAAAGUGCUGGGAUUACAGGCACAUUCCACUGUGCCCAGCCCAAAAUAAUUGUACAUUUAAAAAUAGCUAAAAGAGUAUAAUUGGAUUGUCUAUAACACAAGUGAUAAAUGCUUGAGGUGAUGGAUCUGCCAUUUAAUUUACCCUGAUGUGAUUAUUACACAUUACAUAUCUAUAACAAAAUAUCUCAUGUAACCCAUAAAUAUAUGUACCUAUGUGCCCAUAAAAAUUAAAAAUUAAAAACUAUACUCAGAGUUUAAAAAUAAUGCAACUCCACAUUUUAUGCAAUCAAAUUUUAAAAUCUCAAUUAUAGUUUUAUGAUGUAGUUUUUGCUGAAACUGGAUGGGGGAGCUCCAACCAAACUAUUAAAACUUGAGGCCAGCACGGUGGCUCACACCUGUAAUCCCAGCCCUUUCGGAGGCCGAAGUGGGCAGAUCACCUGAGGUCAAGAGUUUGAGACCAGCCUGGCCAACAUGGUGAAACCCCAUCUCUACUAAAAAAUACAAAUUUAGCCAGGCAUGGUGGUGAGUGCCCAUAGUCCCCAGCUACUCGGGAGGCUGAGGCAGGAGAAUCACUUGUACCCGGGGAGGCACAGGUUGUAGUGAGCUAAGAUCAUGCUACUGCACUCCAGCCUGGGCGAUGGAGUAAGACCCUGUCUGAAGAGAAAAAAAAAAAAAAAAAAAAGGCCGGGUGCAGUGGCUCACGCCUGUAAUCCCAGCACUUUGGGAGGCCGAGGUGGGUGAAUCACAAGGUCAGGAGUUUGGGACUAGCCUGGCCAACAUGGUGAAACCCCAUCUCUACUAAAAAUACAAAAAAUUAGCUGGGUGUAGUGGCGGGCAACUGUAAUCCGAGCUAUUCGGGAGGCUGAGGCAGGAGAAUCACUUGAACCUGGAAGGUGGAGGUUGCAGUGAGUCAAGAUCGUGCCACUGCACUCCAACCCUGGCGACAAAGUGAGACUCCG
rnacentral:lncRNA from 1 species